UGAUAUACUAUUUUUAAAAAGCCUACAUCCUAAGCAAAUGGGUUUUAUUCUAAAAUGCAAGGUUGGUUUAACAUUAAAAUAUUAGUUAUUCAACUAAUUAAAAAACUAAAACAGAAGAACCUUAUGAUUAUCUCAGUAGAUAAAGGCAUUUGAUAAAAUUCAAUUUCAUUCUUGAUUAAAAAAAAAACCCUCUCAGCAAUCUAAGAAUACAAAUGAACUUCAUCAGCAUGACACAAAGCAUCUAUGACAAACCUACAGCUAACGUGUAUCACAAUGACACACUGAAUGCUUUCCCCAUAUCAGGAACAACACAGGAAUGUCUGCUUUCAAAUCUUUAGUAAGCUUUAUGCUAAAGAUUCUAGCCAGUGGUGUCAGACAAGAAAAAGAAAUAAAAGGUAUCCAGGUUGGAAAGAAGAAGUAAAACUGUCUUUAUUCACAACCAUGAUCACAUAAUAGGGGCAGAUAAACUACAACCUGUGGGCCAGCUUCUUGUUUUAUUGGAACACAGCUGUGUUCAUUAAUGUAUGUAUUCUCCCUGGCUGCUCUCAUACUACAAUGGCAGAGUUGAUUAGCUGCAACAGAGACUGUUCUGCCGCAAGUCUGAAAGAUUUCCUAUCUUUAGUAAAACAGUAGUUUGAGAAUGAAAAUAUUUGAUGAUCAUUGUUGUAUGUAUAAAAUAUGAUCAAAUAUACCAAAAAAGUUACUAGAACUAAUAAUAAGUAAGUUUAGCAAGGCUGGAGGAUACAAAAAUCAACAUACAAAAAUCAGCUGUAUUCCUAUAUACUAGCAAUAAACAAUUAACUUGAAAUUUAAAAAAAUAUCGUAACUUCAUUUAAAAAAUGAGAUACUGAUGAAUCAGAUAAAAUAUGGAAACACCAAGGCUGGGUGCAGUGGCUUUUAAAAAAAAAAAUAACAA
rnacentral:lncRNA from 10 species